AAAAUAACAUGCUGUGUUUAUGUUUCUCGUCCAAUCUCUCUCUACAUUUCAAGUUAAAUCUUAGUCCCAAUUCUCAGAUGGUAUUCAUCUGUGACUCUGGUUCUGUAUCUGUAGGUCAAAUGCUUGUUUUUGCAAAACAAACCCAAAUCUGAACUUGUCUUGUUUUUGCAUGCUAUUGGUCGGUUAAGGAGUUUUCUAGUCGACAUUCCGAUAGCCGGAAUUGAAUUAAAUCGAAAAAGUCGUUUUACUGUUACACUUAUAAAAGAUUGUCAAUUUCUGAGAGAUGAAUUGAAGUUUACGAAUGGCAGAGAAAGGGGAACAACAGGUAAAAAUAAGCCAAAUUAUGCUUGAAACUGAAACUAUUCAAAAUUUAAUUUUUUUUAAUUCUAGAAUUAAGACAAUCAAAGUUAAUUGGAAACUUGAUGAGAAACUUAAAAAGUUCUCUUUUUUCUAAAAAAAGAAAAUAGGAUUAUAAUUUGGGACAAAUGAAAAAAGAGAGUAGGACAAAAAUUAUGGAAUGAAUGAAGUAAUACGUUUCAAUUCUGUUUAAGCCCAUAAUUUGUACUUGCAGAUAAAAUGGGCUUUGUUCAAGCCUUUGGUUUAUCAGUGGAGUAAUGAGAUAUUUCUGGGCACAUUCCUGUUGCAAUAAAAUUUCAGCAAUAUCUGUACUUAGAUACUGAGAUAAUUUGUAGUGAGAUACUGCAACAAAGGUUGAUCAGCAGUAUCUUUGCUCCGUACGACUUUGUACAAUGCCUCACUUGAGGACUGCAUCACCCUGCUGCCAAUGAAAUGAAAAGGCAUAUCUUUUUUUAUUUUUAAUUUUUUUUUUAUGUAAUUAGCUUUUAUUCUGGUUGUUAAGAAACCUAUGUUGAAAGAUGGAACGGUUGGACAUAGAUUUGUUCUUGCUAUUAUUUUCAGUGCAAUUAUUUAGGGCGCUGUGGAAUCAAGCAGUUCUGUUCCGAACCAAACUGCAAAAACUAUAAAUUUAAUUUUCAUUUUUUCUUAAACUGAACUUUGGAAUUGAACAGGAUCAGCUUACGAUAUU
rnacentral:lncRNA from 1 species